rnacentral:rRNA from 1 species
GAUGAACGCUGGCGGCGUGCCUAAUACAUGCAAGUCGAGCGAACAGACGAGGAGCUUGCUCCUCUGACGUUAGCGGCGGACGGGUGAGUAACACGUGGAUAACCUACCUAUAAGACUGGGAUAACUUCGGGAAACCGGAGCUAAUACCGGAUAAUAUAUUGAACCGCAUGAUUCAAUAGUGAAAGACGGUUUUGCUGUCACUUAUAGAUGGAUCCGCGCCGCAUUAGCUAGUUGGUAAGGUAACGGCUUACCAAGGCAACGAUGCGUAGCCGACCUGAGAGGGUGAUCGGCCACACUGGAACUGAGACACGGUCCAGACUCCUACGGGAGGCAGCAGUAGGGAAUCUUCCGCAAUGGGCGAAAGCCUGACGGAGCAACGCCGCGUGAGUGAUGAAGGUCUUCGGAUCGUAAAACUCUGUUAUUAGGGAAGAACAAAUGUGUAAGUAACUAUGUACGUCUUGACGGUACCUAAUCAGAAAGCCACGGCUAACUACGUG